rnacentral:tmRNA from 1 species
GGGGCCGUACCGGUUUCGACGGGGGUGUGGGGGCUGGGUCAGCGGGCGGAUGCGCCUAACAUCCUUAAAAUGGGCACCUUAUAAAUUAAAGAACAACGAUUCUUUAGAACUCGCUGCCGCCUAAGGGCCGCAGCCGUCUGACCGGUCAGGACCGCGGGUCCGGGAAGGCGUCGUUUAGCGGUGCACGUGCGUACGGUAAGCUUUGCCCGUGCCAUGAAUCAUGAAGCUCACCUGACCCGUCGGCGUGACGGCUUGCCGAUGGGAAGGGGAACAGGGAGAGAAAGACUCCUAAAAUAACCGUCUGCGCCCGGAGAACAUCCAGUUGAAGCACUUUCGGACAGGGGUUCGACUCCCCUCGGCUCCACCA